GCAGGAGCGGCGUUCCCGGUGCGGCUCUGCACAAACUCCCCAAAGCAGGUGCUUUGCCGGAGGAAAUCAACGUGCACCUUUACGAUGAGGAGAGGGUGUGAUAUCCCUGUUACCAGGAUGCUGCCCCGUCGUGGAGAUCAGGCAACUGAGCGUGGGGAAACAGCUAAAAAUGGAAGCAAUCCUGCCAAAGCGAAGCAGUGCGUACAGCCCGGUUCAUGGCACCUUGGGCUCCCGGUGUAACCGACCACGGCUCAGCCAGGGAGAGCGCAGCGACUGUGCGUCGCUGUGACAGCUGCCGCCUCGCCUGGAGUACGAGUGUUUGGCCGGAGCACCGGUCUUUCCGUGCACCACCCACCACUUCAAAAACUUGCUUUCCCGAGGAAAAGAGACUGGAGACAAAGCAGUGGCUCUGACGUGGUUGCUCAGCACUGCGGUGCAAAGUGCACGGCAGAUAAAUCACCCCGGAGCGCUCGUCACAGCGCACCAGCAUGCAUCUCCUCCCUCGCCCUCUUCCCAGGCGCCCGGUCUCCUCCCGAAACGCCCAUUUGUUAAAUGAUUGGUGCAGGAAAUGCUGAUUCAUGCAGCAGGGACGAGAAAACUUUGCACCUGGCCCGCGAUGGGGAGGGAGCGUCCGAAGGUAGAGCUCGCCAGGGCCGGCUUGGCCCUCAGCCGCGUGCUUGGGGUGACGCCGACCCGCUUCUGGAAACGUAAAAAGCUGAAAUACAGAGGCAUGCCCCCACGGAUGUGCCUGGACCUGCACUUUGAGGGAAGAGCUCGCUUGGCUGAACGUGCUCACCUGCUCUUGCUCUGCGGUUUUCAGGAGGAGACCGAGCAGCCGCGGCGCCUUAGCUCUUGUGUCACACCAUGCGCAACACCUAUUCCGAGCGGACACAUCAUCCCAAAGUUCCCACAUUAACUUUUUUUUUUUUUCCCUAGGAUAGGCUAAGCCCAAGCUCUCUGGCUGGCGGCCAGCAAAGCGCUAAGCGACACGAUGUUUGCCUGCUCCUGCUUCGGCGCGGCGCCUUCGUUUUCCGCCAUUUCCGUUGGGAAGCCAACCUGUCUGCUCGCGAUACCCGGGAGCCCUGACCUCUCCCUCCGGAUGGCUGUGCAGAGUUUGUCCCUGCAGCCUCACGGACAGCCGAGUCAGGAUCCAGCACAACGGCGGGGAAAGAAGCUUUUGGUGCAGAAGAUGUGGAUGAGAGACUGGAGGUGUGAACUUCCCGAAGCACCUCCAUCGCGACUGGCCUUGCCGCGCUUCCCGGAGCUGUCGUGGUGAUGUUCUGCCCUGUGAACAGCUUCCAGCUUCCGCAGGGCUGCAGGGAGGAAGCGCAGCAGCGUGGGGCCGGGCCGGCGGCUGGACAGCGGUGGGCCAGGGCAGCGUCCAAACGGCUCCAGACACAGUCCAGACGCCUGUUGAGUUCCCACUGCAAGCAAUUCCCCCCGAAAGCCUUCGGCAGGCGGCCUGCAGGAAGCGUCGCUGCCUUUGCUUAACCACGGACGCUCCCGCCGUGGCCAGGAGGAGGCUGACCUUACUUGCAAAUGUGAUUCUCACAGCUGCUGUGCACGCAGAUUAUAGGGCCUGUGCACAAAACAGAGCUUGCCUCAAGCAAGGAAGUGUGCUGCAGCCUUCGCUACAGGUACCUGCUAGACACCAAUCCCAGUUAUCGCCUUGUCUCCCGACUGCUCUAGUUGGAAAUGAGUUGAGAAAAGGCAGAGAGAGGGGCUUCAGCCACAGUGCUGCCUGCCAAGAGGAUGUUAAACCAACCCUGCAUCCGCCUGGGGGGUAGGAGGACACCGGGUUCGGAGGGAGCGACGUGGGCACCCAGAGUACCCUGAGGAGGUACCGGGAGCUAAGCAGGCAGCAGGAGAUAGCGAGGUGUGUAGGCUGCCCGCAGAUAGCUCCCUCGCCAUCUGCGCUAGCUUCUCCUGCCCGGCCUUGGUGCAGGCACGCUCGCGAUGCCUCCUCAGUGCGUUCCCUGAUAACGCCUCGUCACUGAGUCCUCAAUGCCACAGCAGCCCACGGCCCCGCUCCCGUGCUUUCUGCUGGCCUCCGCUCUUCAGUCCGCAGCGCCUGGGGAUGGCCUUGGCUGUCUGCCUGCCUUCACCUGCAGGAGCUGAGACUGCACGAACAAGAACGCCACCCUGACACAAGGAAAGGUGGUGCUGCUCUGCGUCACCCCAGGCCAGCAAGUGCUUCUCCAGCCAAGGCAAGGGAUCUCUGCCCAGGACCUUUCUCAGGCACUGAAUUUGCUUACUGAGAGGCGAACGUGUCCGUGCAGCUCCAUCAGCUCUGUUUGCUUUUUCCCUGUUUCCCUGCACACCUUCAGUGCCGCAUUUCCACAUCUUGUGAGCUGGUCGGACGGCAGCGCAGCUCCGGAAUGGACUCUGCAGAGGAGACGAGCCUUACUCUUUCCCUUACUUCUCCCAGCUUAGGCACAGGUAACGAGGAGCAGUAUGUUUCUUUACGUAACAGCCCAAAGAGCAAAGGACCCUGUGAGAACAUGGCAAGCUAGAUUCAGCCUCAGCGUCCACGCCUGGGAGCUGGGCCCCUGGCACGUAUCUGCCUGGCAGAGAGAACCAGAUUCAGCCGCUGGAAGCCGCAGAAGUGUGCUCAUGUGGCGCUUAACCCCUGCUGAGCUCCUCAGCACGUCUAGCUUUACUCACUGUAGAUGCAGAAGAAACAUUCAGGAGAGGAAACGUGUCGGUUCCAUUGUCAGACUGCUGUGGGACUUUCCUCGCCGGCUGGAAAUACUGAAGCACAGAUGAAAGAGGACCUCCACGUGAGCGCAGUUUGGAAAAGCUGCUCCCCGAAUAAAGAACGGGGUAUAUUUUACAGUCUGGAACACAGUGAGAUGUGAGACACCUUGGGAGACCAGAGGGAGCGAGCGAUGUGCUGGAGGCUGUGGAGGAAGCCAGGAAGUCAGCGUGUAACACAAGAUUCAGCUGUGGGGAUUAACAGCAAACGUCAGUCUUUGAGACACGGAAGAAGCAUCAGCAGUAAAGGAAGAGCUGGGGAGGGUGGUAACAUGAAAGUCUUCAAGGAUAAGAUGUCAAAGAGAGAAGGACAACCAAUUGUGUUCAAAGCGCAGAGGAGCCAGUCCCUGACGUCUGCUCAGGAAGAGGCUGUGAGAUCAAGGGUACUUCGUUAUGGGCAGCUCAGUAUCCAGCAAGGUAAAGUCCCAGCAUGAAAAACAGGGAAGGCUGACCAUGGUGUGGAAACGGUGAACCCGGUGCUGUGGGCAGUACAGGAAUGCAUGACAAGCUCUUGGAUUAAGUCCCGAGGACGUUAUCCACGGCGGGACCUGACUCACUUCUCUCGGUAAGGUGGUCUCUGGAGUCCGUCAGAGCAGGAUCGGUUUUGCAGGCUGCCCGGCCCUGGGGACAGAGGCGCUCAGUAGGCUGCAGCAGUGCUUGGAGCCCUGCAGGACCAGAAAGCCCUUCAAACGGUAAUGCUGUGCUCUCCAGAAAGCUGUUUGGAUGAUUAAUGCUGCAUGUGCUUGCCAAAGAGCUGAUUUACAUAGUGUCUACAUCAUAGUUAUCUAGUACUAGCUCCUUCACUGGAACUGGCAGAGGUAGCGGACAUGGGUGGUUGAAUCACCAUCUCCUGCAACUAUGGCAAAGCCUCUGCAAACUCUUCUUUAUACUCACUUCCUUCAUGCUUUGGGAAAAACAGCUGUCCAGACCCAAAACUGCUGUGAUCGUGUUAACUGUACUGAGUUCAGAGGACCUGUUUUGAUGGAUACCAAUCCAAGAGUUCGUGGCCUGAAGUGUCCUGCUUUAUCCUCUUUCUUGCUUGCCUUUUUUGACACUGCUUAAGAGCACUUCACAGUAAUUCCCUAGACCCCUGAUUCAGCAAACUGCUGAACAGAACAUCUCUCCUUUAGUUUAUGAGCAGUCCUGCAGGACUGCUGCCAUGGUUAGAGGGAGGUACAUGCUAGAACACCUUGCUGAAUCAAAGCCUAUAUAGUCUUGCUCAUAUGCAAAGAAGAAAGUAGAGCCAAAGGAGUUGAGGGCAUUGGCCCAGUGCAUCGCAAUACGGGAAUUGGCCUGGCUACGAGGAGGGAUUUUGCAUCCCAAAAGCCUGCUUUGCCUUUGCCUUGCCCACUGGCUUCUCUCUGCUGCCGGCCCCUCGCGGGGUGCUGGGCAGCGGGGCACUGGUGACCAGCUCCUGCCGCUUAGCUGUGCCUGGGACACGUCCCCCUCUGCACUGAGGGCUCGCAAGGCUCUCUGGAGACAGAGGGGUGUAUCCCCCAUCUCUGCCACCGCCCUGCAGGGCCUCCCCGGCCCGGCCUGGCCCCAGGAUCCCCUCCAGCGGCCACAGUGCCCGCAGGUAGCUGCUGCCCUGGUCCCUGCGGGGCUCCCACCGGUGCCCCCAGGCCCAGCCCCUGCGACACCUGCCAGCUGCUGCUGGUGACAAAAUCACUAGUGGGCCCCUGCGCUAUUCCUGCUUUCAAGGGAGCUGUCACCUUUUAUUUCAAAAGUAUCGUGAACAGAUAGCAUGGGAGGGAGCAGGCAGCGUAUCUGAUUAAAAACACAUCCUUAGAGUUGUGCUCUCAGCUGCCCCAGCAUGGGCAUGGGGGGAUAAAAGCCAGGGAUCUAAGAGUGACAUCAAAAGUCAGCCACAAAAAUCAGAGCAAAUUCCAAAAUACUUUUUUCCUUUGAGAAGUACGGCGCUCGGCUGUCACUCAGGCACACCUUUUCUCUUCCAUGGAUCCCCCAGCAACAGGCAGCGGGUGACUUCAGGCCCCAUCUUCAGAGCUGGCUGCUCCCGGAGAGCUGAGCCUGACCCUUUACCUUUGGCUGGUUUCACGUUUUGGUGACAUGAAGUUUCAGAUGACCUUUGAUUCGUAGAGCAAGUCCACUUUCCUCUUGUUGCUGUGGUCAGAACAAAUCGGUACAUAAUGACCUGGGAAAUAAAAGUGUUUCUGCAGCUCUCUGCCAUUUAUACAGCACUUGUGCGCUGCGUGAUGGUCACUAGCUAUUUCGGACUUUAGUGCAGACAGACCAUAAACCUGAUUUUAUUGCCUUGUGAGGAGCACUGCAAUGCAGGAGGAGGAACACAGAGCAUGUCCAAACAUAACUGAUUUCCCCCAGAACAACUUCUGUCUCACUCAGGCAGCUGCCACAUAAAUGCUUCUUAUUUAUUUGUAAGCUAUGUGGCUAAAUGCACCUUCCACCGCCGGCUGAGCCGUGCCCCCGUCGGCUCUGCGAGGCUCCCCAGGGCGGUGCGUGCAGGAACCUGGAACAGAAUGAAAGUUAGGAUUGGAAAAGGGAAAAAUGGAGGAGUGAUUUUUUUUGUUUCCCCAGAAAGAAUGAACCCCCUUGAAAUGAAAAAGGCCAAAGGGCCUGCCACAAAACGUAGCAACCCGACCAACCAAGGGCCCGGAAAGAUUUUUGUAUUUGCAGGAAGUAGUCGAUGGAAAGGGCUCCGUUGUGUCAGGACGUGUUCAGUUAGGAACAGUUAUGGAAACUGCAUCUUCCAUUGUCUCCGUAAGUCCAUUUCUUUAAAGGUCAGCUUGGGGCAUUAUUUACCUCUUGUCAUACAGGAAGGUCACUUUUUCACUGCUUUUGUUCCUUGGUGGGUAUUUUUUUUAAAUAGCCAUUGCAGUUCCUCCCCCAUACUUUUUUAGCUUACCAGAAAUAUGUUAUUAGACAAUGUGUUUUGAAACAGUGACUGCUGAAGUAUGAAGGAUACAAUGGCCUGUCCUGUGCAUAGUCCUUUGUUUUGAAAACAGGGCUCUGUACAAUGACUGUCAAAGUGGCAGUGAGGUCUGUUCUAGGGGUUUCUCCAUGUUUCCUCACCCAUGUUGUCCAGGUGGUCCUCAUCCAGCCUUCUGGCAAGCUCAGCCAGGAACAGGGAAGUCCCUUCCCUCUAGGCAGUCAGGUGGGCGCUAAGGGAGCACUAUCAGGAUUACUAACUCUUGCAAAAAUGCUCCAGUUCAGGUUGGACGCAGACCCUUCCUCCAGAGCCGGACCCCACGCUGUUCGUCAGCUGGAAGACAGCAACGGGGGCGGCCCACCCCGGAGCCAGAGCUGCCCUCGCCUCUGACCUGCAGCUUCAAGUGAGCGGGGCCCUGCAGCAAGCCAGGCAGCCCACCAGAUGUGCGUUACGCAUCCCGGCGGUCGUUGGCCAUGGACUAGACAACCGUGGUGGGGAAGGAGCUCUGCCAGGAUUUUCAGGCAGCCGGUUACCCUGGGCACUGCUGUUGAGUGUCAGAUGUGCCUAGUGAAGGAGUCAACAACAGGAAGAAUAUAUGUUCCCAAAGAAAUCAAAUGUCGCUGCUACGAGGACAUGGUGCUAGAUUCCUCUCUUUCUGAAGUAGUCUUUCAAAUGAAACCUGUUCUCCAGCCAUUAAGAAAAAUAGUGAUGCUUAUAAAGGGUUGAGGGACAAGGUGGCCGGCGAGGAGUGCAGCCGAGGUGCUUGGAGACCACGGGCGAGGAGGAGACCCGGAGCACGUGGCCGCGUCUGAGAGGCACCUGCACGCGGAGGGUACAGCCGUCCUUUCCCCGCACCACUUUGCAGCCCUGCGGCUCGGCCGUGCGUUGCCCACCGCCAGCCUCGGGACGGGACGGGAGCGCUGGAGUUACUGUCGCGGGCUGCGGUGUGAGGCCAGGCCACGGGUCCGGCCUUCAGUCUGCCUGAUCUUUACCAGAAAUGACAGAAAGCGGCAGGAAGAGCUGCAGGACGGAUGCACGUGAGAACUGGGUUUUGCGUUGCGAGUCGUCUUUAACCCAUUAAGCAGAUGAUGUCUUGGGGGUCGGAGUCUGCAGCAAGCAAUGCAGCCGGGAAUGUGCUAGCUGAGAUGUCGCUAGAGAUGCAGCAAGCCCGACGGGGGACCCGGCCUGCUCCCGGGGCAGCUGGCAGAGAGCAGAAGGUGCCUGGGCAAGCGCGAGAGAGAGCCUGCCUGUUCUGCCACGGAUGCAGCCGGCCCUCGCCUGCGCACAGUCUUGUUUCCCGUAGACCGGAGCUUCCUUGCUCGGCAAGCUGCCAAAAGCCGUAUUGCCUGCGUUUCGUAGGUGUUUGCGCUCUGAGUCCCUCGCACAGCCAGAACAAGAGCCAGGUACGGUCAGACCGUGGACCGCGGGCUUUCCCGGUGCCCUGCUCCCCCGGGGGGGAUGCACGGCGGUAAAUUAUGUCCCGCUGAGGAACGGGGAAGGGCUGCAGGGAGGAGAGCUGCCAGGUGAACACGCAGGCUGUGCCCUCUGCAGCGCUGCUCACUGUGCCUGUUAGGCGAGGCGAACCUUACCAACUUGAGCAUGCUGAUUUAUGAGUUUGCUUUUCAAAUAACACUUAAACCUAGGCAACUUUUCCAUCCGGACAGCGCUGUUCUUUUGUGUGACUGAGAACAGGACGGCUGUGUGCAGGUGUGGCACUAGGCCUCUCCCUCUGUGUAAAAGCUCCUUUUUUUUCUUUUGGCAUUUUAAGAACCUUUCUUAAUGCUUUGAGUUGAAGUAUUAUCUUAUGGCCCAAAGUGCCUGGAAACUGUGAAUUCUGAAAUCUUACGUCCCACAGACAAUACUGUCAUUUGGACUUUUGACCUGUGUGGCUAAUUGUAUGGCAUCCGUACUGCAAAUGCCAAACAGGCAGGCACACUGCGCGCGGCCACAGCACGCAGCGGUCCGGAGCGGCCGCAGGUUAUCCUGCGUCCUCGACCUGGGGUUUCUUAUACGCAGAGCUCAAUAAGUAUAGCUUUCAGUGACCAUAUACACAUGAUAAUCAGUUUACUUCUGAGCUGAUAUGAAAAUACUUCGAAUCUGUUUUAUGUGUGUUUAAGUCAAGGUGUGAUCCUGAACGAAUCAGGCCAUAUCUGCACUUGGAAAUUUUUGGAAUACUGAAUAUAUGUUAGCUAGCUUUGCCUAUAGUGGAAUUUUAUUAGAUAACUAGAUGAAACUAGACUGCAGAGCUCUUUAUAUAUGAAACUCAGUAUAGCAUAGUGGAAUUGGAAGAUGCACGAUCCUUGCGAAACCAGCACAGCAGAGAUGCUGUGACCUCCCUUUGAGUGAAAAAUCCCAAGUACCAGCAGCAGGCAGGGGACCGAGAAACCUGUUUGUGUAAACCGGUGGUUCCUUCUAACCAAGGAAGCUGCCCAUGCCAUUUGGCAAGCAGCACCUAAAGGCUCCCAGUGAGAAAUGUUUGUAUUUUGCUCCUAAAAUAUAUGUGGAGUGCGAUGCAGCCUCGAUGUGUAAUGUGACAGGGGGCUGAAAUGGGUCUAAGGCUGUCCCUGAAAACUUCUGCUCUGCAUAUAGAGAUAUUUUUAAUUACGUGUAACUUGGCGACAUUUGAUCAAGCGAAAGGCUUGCUUGAAGAAAAUAUUUCAAGUUCUAAGGAUGUAAUUUACUGUGAUUACUUAACAAUAUCCUGAGAACAGGGGGUCCUCAAAGACCCCCCCCCCCAGGCAUCAUUGCUCCGGAAAAAAAGUGGCUGUGAUAACGCAGGGAAAACUGAUGAGGAACAAUAAACGCAACCAAAGUCUUUUUCAGCUUAUCUAGAAGAAACUAAACUGUGAACUUGUUUUGUAAAAAAUGGAUGGUUUGUGGAGUCCCUCAUUGAAAAGCAGUGCCCAUUAGAGACCUGAACAAAUGUAAUUAAACCAAUUUUUAAAGUAA